AAUUCUCAACCUUGUUCGCUUUUACUAGCUUGAGCAAGGCUUGGAUGUGAGGGCUUGCUGGCUUCCUUCAGUGGAUGGUCUGCUCCCUUUAAAUGUAUUAGUGGGAUCUCUUGUGGACCGUCACUUGGUGUGAUAAUUAUCUAUGCCAUUUGACUUUGAAGCAAACUUUAUGGGAAUCCGCUUAUAACCGUCUCGCAAGGGACAACUCUUGACA
rnacentral:misc_RNA from 1 species